GCAGUGGGACUGCUCGUGCUGUUCAAGUUGAGCAUGUGCCGGAGUGUCUUCAGGAGUCAGACCACUGUGUGUAAAGUUCCUCUCAAAUGAUCCAGGAAGAGGUGAGGUAAAGGACAGUGCCCUAGAGUUGUGUGAGUCCCACUUUAGCAGAGAGGAGAAGAGACCUAUCUGUGGGGGGCCUUUUCUCACAUAGAUCUACACAAGUUGCAUUUUAAGAAAAAACAUAGGAGCUACAACAAAAUGAAAGAGAGAAAAGAAGCACACACAGAGAGAGAAAGAGAGCUCCAGCAAGUGGCUAAUAUAAACUGGAAUAACAGAAAGAAGACUGGUGGAAACUCCUUAGAACAAAAAGGCUGAACUAGGGGAGAAGGACUGAACCCAAGCUAGAGGGCUGUCUUGCCUGUGAAAGGAAUACCUGGAGUUUUAAGCUGAAAACAAGUGAAGCUUCCCUCCAGAAUCUCUACAAUCUGCCUAAAACACCAUUUAGGUGCAGAAUAUGCAAUAAUGAUCUGCUGUGCAGACUGAAGACAGAAUUUUCCUCUCAAACAUUGCAAUCUAAUCUGUGCUGAAGUCUCCAGAGGGAUGCAAGAGAUGGCCUGGGAACAGGUAACACUUGAGUGAUGGAGGAAGUGGGGAAUUUGGGGAGAUGGGGAGAGAAAUGGGGUACUGGGAUAUUAAUGGAGGGAAAGGGUCCCCCAAAAUGGAGGGACAUAGGAAGAAGUGGCAGCCUGUAACUUCCACCCGGAGGAGAGCCAAAGAAGAGGAAAGGUCCAUUGUCUCCCACCAAACUGUUCUCUAUGAACAUGAUGGACCCAGAGAGCAUAGCAGGAAACAGGAGUGUCUGCAGAGGGGAAUGUAAGGGAUUGAGGAAAAAAAUUGUGUGUUUAUGAGGGGACCAUUGGAGGAAAUGUGGAAGUCUGGUGCUGAUGGAAACUAUUAUACUCUGCUGCUGCAGGGUUCUCUGCCUUGUAGUGACAUGUUGAGAGGAAAAAAAUGAAAAGAGUCUAGUGUCUUUAAUCAUCAGUUUAAUCUGUUUUGAGAGUACAAACACUAUUAUGCACUAAUCAUAGUUAUAUGGUUAUUUUGCAUGGUGUCACUACAUGGCAGAUUUAAGGCUGUUUGAGUGCCUUAACUGUGCUUUCUGUUAAGUGUAACCUAAACUCUGAAUUUCCAUGGGCUUUAAUGCUUGUUUGUGGGAUAAUUGCAACAUCCCUGUCAAGUUUUUACCCUCAAUUUACUGAUCUGUACUGAACCUUAACUCCACUUUAACACAGUUUUUAUUUGGAAAUUAAUAUUAGUCUCAUCCGCUGCAGUGGCUGCUGGCACAAUGAUUGCAAACAAGGGGUUUUAAGCUGGGAAUCUGUGUCUCCUGAUGUCCAGGUGAAAAGAGAAAAACCUGCUUAUAAUAAAACUACAGAGACAAAAGUAUCAAUUGGAAUACUACCAAUAUCAUGUGUGUACAGCAGAUGGUUAAACAGUAGUACAAGGUUAAAGUCUGAUAAUUCUGUUUUAUGAUUAGCUAUUUGUCUGCCACCUCUUUGAUGUGAAAGUGGUACAGCGAGUACUCAAUUUACAUACUGUACUAUAUAUCCAAAUAUAAAUGAUACAUUAGUCUUCAAUUUAGCCCUAUUUCAAUUGAUUACCAUAUCUUCCAUUUGCCAUGUUUAUCAGCACUGUAAAUAUUUAUAACUUUUGCUGAGUUUGAGGAUUUGUUGUACCAAGCAACACAUCAGUCAAGUAGCUGAGUUACAUUUUCCUGAUUUAUAAUUGAUAUUUUAAUGUCCAUCAUUUGACCUCUGUCAUAGUAUUAUUUAAUUUGUUUUUCCAAUAUUGAUCUUCAAGCUGGAAUUGGAACAUAUGAGGCCAAACCUAAGAUAAGGGAGAAUGAUUUAUUUUCCAUUUUGCUUUUAUUUUUUGAAAAAUAAUGUAUAUUAUGAAAGGGAAAAUCCAGUGUCAUUUGUUUUAGCAACUGAAAGUGACUGCUGAAUAGUUGGGCAGGAGGGGUUGAAUCCCCUCUACACUGGAGGCAUUCUGCACCCAUGUGCGAGGACCAGAAACAGUCAGCUACACAAAGGAGUAGCAGCAAAGGAGAUCACCUAGGGUUUCCAAUCCUCCAGGAUUGUCCUAGAGUCUCCAGGAAUUAAAGAUUAAUCUUUAAUUAAAGGUUAUGUCAUGUGAUGAAACCUCCAGGAAUACGUCCAAUCAAAAUUGGCAACCCUAUUAUCAUCCCUGUGACACAGAGAUCUUCACAGCACCACCGAUGAUGGAAGUGGGAUUGUGGUUGAGCAGGCAGCCUGUCUGAUAGUGACUAGGGUCUCUGUCAUGCUGCCCCAGUGAUUUUCCUCACAGAGAAAAGCCCUUUUACAUGCUCCUUCCCCAGGAUUAAGCCUUAGAUAGUGGGAAUUUUCAUGACUGAGAACUUCCUUUGCAGAUUGUUUUAUGUAUGUAUGCCAUCUAUUACCUUCCAUCUGUGCAUGUGGACUGAGAACCAGAUAUGGCAUAAGAGAGCAUGGUGACCUCAGAAAAGUGGUUCCCCUAUUUCUCACCUCAGCUUCCACUCUGAGUCCAAAUUCUUUCUGCUCACAGUCAUUUAUCUUAUCUGCUUCCUGGCUUUCUCCUCAGUCACAACCCAUCCUUUUUCUUCCUUACAAAACCUUUCUUUACCUCCAGGCCUUGUAAUUAGACCAGAGGCAGUUGAGAGUGGUUGCAGGGCCUGAUAGGUUUAAAGUACCAAACACUUCUCCUAAUUAAACACACUGAACCAGAUUCAUUGCUUUGAAGUUAGUGGAAUUACAUCAAUGAUUAAUUUGGUCCUAGCAAGGUACAGAAGGUGAGGGGAUGGGGGUCGGGGACUCUCUACUUACUUUCUGGUUUUAUUGAAAAUCUCUUCAGGAAAAUUAUUGAAGUUGGGGCAAUUAUGAAUAUCAGAUUAAUUGAAUAGGGAAACCACAGAACAGAUGCAAUUUUCUGUACUGAUGGCUUUUCUAUUUAAGGGAUAUGCAACCUUUUGUGGAUUGGGUUCACCCAAUUGAUUUUUUUUGUAGAUUAAGCUAAUAGAUGGUAGCAUAACUAAAAAGUGUGAUGGCUAUCUACAUUGCAUAUAGAUCUUCUGGCUUUUACCCUAUCCACAAUGCUUAUUACCAUUUGCUCUGGUAAAAGAAAAGAAGAUUGAACAUAAAAAGCUGAAGGUCAUCCAUACAGUUGUCCCAAUAGCAAUCUGUGUGACUUUAACCCUGUUGAAGAAAAGUAAUUAACCUUUGGCUUCUGAUGACCUCAACUAACCUUUGUUGAAGGGCCAGAGAAAAUAAAGGCUGACCAACAGCCUGCCCUUACUGCCCUGUGAUUAACCUGCCCUGUGAAUGAAGAACACCCCCAACAAUAGAAUGUCAAAAUGUUGCCAUGGAAAUAUUGUUGGAAGAAGAAACAAAAAUUUAUUACAAUUAAUAGUGGUUUAUAGGAUGACUCCCAUAGAACUAUUUAAUCCAUGAAAGUUGCUCUAUUUUAAGAUCUGGGGUCAAAAAAUUGAGCAGGAGUAAAAGAAAGAGGGAGGGUUUGCCUCUUUAAACAUUUGAGGGCUGUUGACAGAGCAGGGAUGGUUUGCGCAAAAUAAAAGAAUCAGUUAUAGCUUGCACCAUAUAAACAUGGAAAAUGAAAACACAGAAUAACUACAAUAUAGUAACUAUGAAUGAUUGGCACUGACUAUCCAAUUGGCCAGGAAGUAUAAUGGUAUACAUGCAUUUUGCUUUUGUUAUAUGGCAAGUUAUAAGUGCCAUGUAUCUUUUAAUAUUGUUCACACUGUGGUCUUUGCUCAGAGCACACUUGGAUUAUUUGGAAAAUGUAGGUAAUAUUUGUAUAUUUGGGACUUUCAAAAUUGGGUAGUACAAAUACUUUACUUUGCUUUUCUUUUUUUUAAAUACUCAUACAUAACAUUAAAUAAAAUACAGUUCUGUUAAAUGUACUGGUUUACCUAUGUUUGUUUUGGGCCUGAUCUUGUGCUACUCAGCUCCCCAGCUCCCCAACUCUAUUAGAUUCAAUGGGAGCUGACAAUGCAGAGCACUUUGCAGGAAGAGCUCAGCACAUGCUAGGAUUGGGCUGUGCCUGAAUAAGACAUUCUGUUAAAACAAAAAUUACGAUGAUUAUUUAACUGUUUGUACAAUGGCCAAAAAUAUGGUAGGCAUUUAAAAGAAAAACUACAGUUCUAGCUAUCUGUAAUAUUCCUCAUACUGUAUGAUACUAGAUGAAUGUAUUUCAUUUAAAGAAAAUUAGUAUUAGUUCUUAUUUUUAAUGUUAAUAUAUUAUUUUUAAUAUUUGUAUUAAACCUAAUUUUUUAAUGUAAGAAAAAUAUUUUUAGUAUUAUCUCUCUGUGUUUGUAUAUGUAUGUAUAACUGAACAAUUGUAAUGUAUUCCAUCACUCUUAACUGAAAUUAUUGACAGUGUUAUACAUAUGGAUCAGCUAAGAAAUUAUUAAAUAAAUGAAUAAACAAUAAUAUUUGUAAGAUUCUUGCUGAUACCAAAAUAAUUCAAAAUACCAAUUUAGUUUUAUCUAAAAAAUCAUGCAUAAACAUCAUUUUUCCUUCCUUUCUUCAUUUCCAAAGUACACAUUACUAAAAAUGCUGGAAAGCUGUCAAUUGCUCGAUACUGAAUUGAUUUUGAUGACAUGAUCCUAUUUUCAUUGGCAUUAAUGGUAGUAUUGCCAUUGACAUCAGUGGCAACAGGAUUGGGUCCUACAUUUGUAUUUUCUCCAUUGUGAGAUUAAAAAUAUAUGAGGAUAUGAAUUACAGUAAGCACCAAAUGAAAGCCUUUUUUUACUCUUUUUGUAAUUCUAUUACAAUUCUAUUUUUUACUCCUUUUAUAAUUCUAUUACAUGAAUUCUUUUUACUUUGCUAAUCUUUCAGUACAUGUUUAUAUGUCUUAAUUCCAAAUACAACAGCUGUAGAUUUCCAGCAUGAAAAUUACCUGCAUCUUAACAAUACAUGCAAAUGGUAAUGGAUGUAAUUCAUUAAAAUGAAAAGGAGGCAUGCUGUGCUUGAUAGGAGCAAACUUUUAUUUGUGAACCAAAGGGAGUCUCACUCGGAACAUUUCACUAAUUGAAUUUUAGUAAAAUGUGGCUAUGUAGUAAGUGUCCUUUUAUUAAACAUUUUUUAAUUGCAACUGUGUUACUAAGUUUUCAAAAUUUAAUUGCCAUUCAAAACUUCUGAACACACAUUGUGUUUUAUCCAGCCGUAGUCAUUGUCCUACUGAUUACACAUAGUGUCAUUUGUUUUUAUAAAGUAAACUUAAGAUGGACUAAGUAUUGCUGCUAAAUUAAUUAAAAAUUGUUGAGAUACGUAACAGUUUUGUUCAGUUUUCUUUUGAGGCCCAGGAUCAAGGCAAUGUGCUUACAUUAAUUUUCAACAUUAAUUUUCAUGUCAGUAGCUAUAAAUCAUUGCUUGCUUGUAUAACCUACCUGUUCUUGGUGCCAGGGAGAUCUUUUACCUGUUCCAUUUACUUUGACAUAGCUACCUUUUCACUUUUUAUCUCUGGGUUAAUGCCAAGUCCUUCAUGUUAAUCCCUUUCCAUCUGCAAAUGGUUCAGGUCCAUAGCAGUCUGGCUGGAGCUCAGAACAAAAGUGAAGAAUGACUAUCAGCAUGAGUUGUGGAGUUUCUGUUGCUGUGCAUAUUAAAGGAGACAAAAACAGAGGGGAAGUAUUACAAUUUGUUACUCAAAGGUAGGAUUAUUCAUUACCUGUAGUGCAGAUAAAUAAUUUGGAGAAUCUUUGAGGAGCCUGAGCAAUAAUCUUCACAUCAUAAUUUUUUAUAGAUUAGAAGGUGAUUUUAAAUGUCUUCAUCUUUACUUGUGGGCUGAGUUUCUGGCUUUAUUGAAUUAAUAUGUAUAAGUUACAUCUUUUUUUCCCCACUUGAGCAUAAAAUAACUCUAAGGCCUAUGUAAUACAAAUAUUAGAUUGCAUUAAAGUUUAAAGUUUGGGAGUUUAUAAAGAUAUAUGACCAACAGAUCUUCAUCAGAACCAUUGGUUGAUAUUAUUUAUUAUAGGAUGUUGCUAAACAUUUUUUGAUUGGGACGUUAAUUAUCUGUAUAUAUUUUAUUUUGAAAUGUAAUUAUUUUCACUUUCUAAAAUGCA